AGAGUUUGAUCCUGGCUCAGAAUCAACGCUGGCGGCGUGCCUAACACAUGCAAGUCGAACGGGAAAGUGGAGCAAUCCAUGAGUAUAGUGGCGACCGGGUGAGUAACACGUGACUACCUGCCCUUGAGUGGGGGAUAACCUCGGGAAACCGAGGCUAAUACCGCAUAACAUCGCAAGAUCAAAGGAGCAAUCCGCUUUUGGAGGGGGUCGCGGCUGAUUAGCUCGUUGGUAAGGUAAUGGCUUACCAAGGCGAAGAUCGGUAUCCGGCCUGAGAGGGCGCACGGACACACUGGAACUGAAACACGGUCCAGACUCCUACGGGAGGCAGCAGUGGGGAAUUUUGCGCAAUGGGGGAAACCCUGACGCAGCAACGCCGCGUGGAGGAUGAAGCCCCUUGGGGCGUAAACUCCUUCGACCGGGACGA
rnacentral:rRNA from 1 species